UGGGGAAUAUUGGGCAAUGGGCGAAAGCCUGACCCAGCAACGCCGCGUGAGGGAAGAAGGUCUUCGGAUUGUAAACCUCUGUCCUUGGGGACGAAAAAAAUGACGGUACCCAAGGAGGAAGCCCCGGCUAACUACGUGCCAGCAGCCGCGGUAAUACGUAGGGGGCGAGCGUUGUCCGGAAUUACUGGGCGUAAAGGGUGCGUAGGCGGUUUUUUAAGUCAGAUGUGAAAUCCCCGGGCUUAACUCGGGUGGUGCAUUUGAAACUGGGAGGCUAGAGUGUAGGAGAGGGAAGCGGAAUUCCUAGUGUAGCGGUGAAAUGCGUAGAUAUUAGGAGGAACACCAGUGGCGAAGGCGGCUUUCUGGACUGUAACUGACGCUGAGGCACGAAAGCGUGGGGAGCAAACA
rnacentral:rRNA from 1 species